ACACUCCUACGGGAGGCAGCAGUGGGGAAUUUUGGACAAUGAGCGAAAGCCUGAUCCAGCAAUGCCGCGUGAGUGAAGAAGGCCUUCGGGUUGUAAAGCUCUUUUGUCAGGGAAGAAACGGUGAGAGCUAAUAUCUUUUGCUAAUGACGGUACCUGAAGAAUAAGCACCGGCUAACUACGUGCCAGCAGCCGCGGUAAUACGUAGGGUGCAAGCGUUAAUCGGAAUUACUGGGCGUAAAGCGUGCGCAGGCGGUUUUGUAAGUCUGAUGUGAAAUCCCCGGGCUCAACCUGGGAAUUGCAUGGGAGACUGCAAGGCUAGAAUCUGGCAGAGGGGGGUAGAAUUCCACGUGUAGCAGUGAAAUGCGUAGAUAUGUGGAGGAACACCGAUGGCGAAGGCAGCCCCCUGGGUCAAGAUUGACGCUCAUGCACGAAAGCGUGGGGAGCAAACAGGAUUAGAUACCCCAGUAGUCC
rnacentral:rRNA from 1 species